AAGCAAGAGGGUGGACGAGCGGAUGGAUCGGGAAGACGGAAUGAAAUAAAGGGAAGGGAGCUGAGCUGCUUGUGUGAAGAAUCGAGUAGACGUGUGAAGGAGAAGCCGGGACGCAGCAGGUGUGGCUGGGAAGAGUCCCCUCCAGCAUCUGGACUAUCAGCACUGGCGCCCCCCAAGAACGUGUGCUCGCACCACUGGUCUUCUCCCUCAACGACUGCACCUCAGAGGACGCAACUGACACAACGGUCAUUGGCCUCAUCGGGGAUCCAUCCAUCCAUUGUCAAACCGCUUAUCCUGCACACAGCGUCGGGGGGUCUGGAGUCUAUCCCAGCCAACUUGGAUUGGUCGCCAGCCAAUCGCAGGGCUCUCAUCAGGGAUGCCCCCCGGGAAAAAAUCCACCGGAGAAGUGAAGGGCUGAACUCUGCGCGUGUUGGGCUGCACGUCUACACAAAGAGCCUCCUGCUGCUGUCGCAUGCAACCCUGCGGCUUCCCGGCACCGUCCGCCUUCUCAGAUUCAGCACCCCACCUGCAUCUCCAGCCAACUCCUCCCAACUCCAGCAGAACCUCCAUCCACCGCCACCAGAGUCUGGACUCCUCGAGGAGAUGUGACUGCCGAUCAGGGGAAACCCAGCGCAACCUCAAAUCCCCUCGUUUAGUUCAAGCACCAAAUAAAUUCUGUGUCACUCAUUAACCCAUCAACUGGCAUAAUACAUGUUGACUAAUCCUUUGGUCGUCUCUCCUGUUUGAACUGAUAUUUAGCCGUAUUUUGCCCCUUUAGGUAGAUUGUCAGAGAGAGACAGACAGAGUGCGAGAGAGAGGGUGUCAAGAGUAAUUCCAAGUGGAUGUCUGGCCCCUGAGGGCACCCUGCCCUGCGGCUAUGGAGGCUCAGACAUUGAGAGAUGCUCAUUCUGCUGUGUGAUGAGAGUAACAACAAGCUGCUCUACUCUUUAACACUGAAUCUGCUACCCAACGCUUGGACCACACUUUGCAUGUUAGCCACGAUGUAUGUAUGGUCUUUUUCAUCGGUUGAGAGCCACUUUCUGGUAUUUGAGCCUCAUUAUCUCACAUUUGUCACAGCACGAUUCUGUUGUUUGAUUGUACCUAUCCAUAUUAAAUGAUCUUGAACUGCUUCAUAAAUCUCAGCACUUUUGUACGUAUUGCACAUCAUUAGAAGCAAGCAUUUCCAGAGCGACCGUGUCUGAACGCAAUGGUCUCCCAGUCAUAACAACAUAUAUUGGUCCCCUUCUUUGUUUUGCUACCGUUGGUUUUCACACCAUAAAUAAAUAUUGCACAUGGUCA
ensembl:lncRNA